rnacentral:rRNA from 1 species
UACGUAGGGACCGAGCGUUGUCCGGAUUUAUUGGGCGUAAAGAGCUCGUAGGCGGCCGUCCACGUCGGAUGUGAAAGCUCGGGGCUCAACCCUGAGAGGUCAUUCGAUACGGGACGGCUUGAGGCAGCUAGGGGAGAUUGGAAUUCCUGGUGUAGCGGUGAAAUGCGCAGAUAUCAGGAGGAACACCGGUGGCGAAGGCGGAUCUCUGGGGCUGUUCUGACGCUGAGGAGCGAAAGCUGGGGGAGCGAACAGGAUUAGAUACCCCCGUAGUCC